GUGAUGAUGAUUGCAUAAAGAUACUAAAAAAUUGCAAGAAUGCAAUAUCAAGAAAAGGGAAAGGAGGAAAAGUGAUCAUCAUAGAUGUAGUAAUAAAUGAAAAAGAAGAUGAGCAUGAAAUGACAGAAGUGAAACUUUUACUUGAUGUGACUAUGAUGACCAGUCUCAAUGGAAAAGAGAGAAAUGAAAAGGAAUGGAAGCAACUUUUCUUACAAGCUGGCUUCAAAUCUUAUAAGAUAUUCCCCGCAUUUGGUUUUAGGUCUCUAAUUGAGCUUUAUCCGUAAGCCGUUCUGUAAUUUACUAAUUAAUUGUAAUUUUGCUUGUGUAACAAUUGUUGUUAAUCACAAGUGGUUGAUGGUUGAUGUGGUCGGUGUGUGAGUGUUGUAAACUCGGAAUAACAAGCUAGUUUGAUUCUUACUGAUAAGAAAAAUAUAUAGUUGUAAAGGAGCAGCUCGUAUUUAACUUAGGUGAUAUAGGUAGCCCUUUUGCAGUGGAAUAAGAAACAAGAAUAAGUAUACUUGGGUCAGAUUGAUUUCUUAAGUUAAUAUGCAAAUAGUAUUGUAUUUCCUUGCACAAAUUGUUAUAGCAGACUUUGAUGUAGCAACUUGAUAUUUGGUAGUAAAACAUGUUUUAUUAAAUAAAGUUGAAUUGAAUUAUCAACAUGCUAUCCAAAUAUAGGCAUAAUUUCACGCAUUUGUUGCAUUUCCAUGUCCAAGAGUAGGAAAUGCAACAAACAGUAUGGAUUUCACGCAUCUCGUGUGAAGAUGAAGGCAAUAAGCACUUUACCUACAUUACGAGUAUUAGGGGAACAAUAAAUGAUUAUAGGCAUAAUUACAUGGCACAUGUACUAUGUACUGUCCACAAAUUUAGUUGAAUUGGCAGAAAUGUCGAAAUUGUUAAUGUGUAUCAUGACAGGAGUUCGAACCCAGACCCUUCCACUUUGUAUGUGUGAGUUUUCAAUGACUUUUGUCAUUUCGUCUAUCUACAAAAAAAAAACAUAUAUGACAUAUGUACUAUGUGAUGAAAGUUUAUUAGGUCUAUGUUGGCCGCCUGACCUCUUUGAUGCUAAUGACGACCGUCUGACUCAUGAAAUAUUUUAGUAAUGUGCUUGUGUAUCUUUUGGGUCCGACAAUCACUAUUUAUCGAGCUUUAUAAUUAUUGUCAUGAACAAUAACCUUUACGGCACUUAUAUUUAUAUUUAUGUGAUAAGAAAAAAUCUGGACAAUCAUGAUCACGUUUACAUGGAAUGAUAACUGUAAUGAAAAAAGAGAAAAAACAAUGUUAUUAAAAUGCGAUAAAAUAUUGUAUACGAAGGAAAGAAGGAGAUUUAAAAAGGAGAUAAAAAUUGCUUACGAGCUGACAUUUGCGUUGAAACAAUAAAUAGGGAAAGAAGGAUUAUCAUAACAUAAACACACUUGAAACUUUUAUCCAUAUUUUUCACUCUUUGCAAGUAUCAAAUAGAAUUUAUUGUAUCACUUUUAUUUAUAAAGUUCAUGUUUUCUUUAUAUCAAUUAAAACAUUUCUAGUACUUAUAGAGUUGUUAAAAGACUUUCGAUGUUUUUUAUAUAUGUAAUUAUUAUGGUAUGUCUCUUAACAUGAGUAAAUUUGACCUUUUAGCACAUUUAGUAAGGAGGUCAAGUAAAAGUUCACAAAUGAAGUUGACCCAUCUUGACUAUGUAAAAAUGAUAAUUUGGCAUAAGAACAACAAUAGCUUCAACAAUCUGAAGAAACAAAAGCUUCAUAUUUCUUAAUUCUACAUGACCUAACCUUGUAAUGAAGAGACUAAUUGAUUGGUUUAUUUAUAUAUAUAUAUAUAUAUAGGGAAUGUUAUAACCCACCCAUUCAUUUUUAUGAAGGUGUGUAUUAGCAUGGUUUACCUUUUUGGAUUCGGCAAAAAUACCACUCUUUUUAAAUUAAAAAGAAAUGAAUUUGGGGGUAGAUAUGUAAUUUUCUUGUUGAUUCCACCCACUUCUCCAUCAACCUCUUAUCUCUCACGACACUGUUCACAUGAGAGAAACUCGGCAUGAAUUGUUUCUUUCUAUAUACCAACAUUUUUUUCAUCAUCCUUUUCUCCAAACUAUAACCAAACAUAUGUGGCUUUUUAGUAACUGCCAACCAAAUUGAUUACCCCAAAACCUCAUCACCAAAUUAAUCUUAUCCGUGGAUUUCAAAAGUCCCAACCAUGGAAGUAGAGGAUUCAAAUUUCUUAAAACAAAUUCCUGCAAAGGUCCCGAUUUCUUAAUUUAAUUCUUCUAAAAACAAAAAUAAAUUUCUUAAUUUGGUUUUUCGUUAUAAAUUCACAACCUGAAUCGAAGCUCUUGAUUUAAUUUAUUUUGAAAUAAAAAUAUCAUGACAAAAGGUAGUCUUGGUAGUUUCAAGUUGGCUUUGUCGUAAGAGCAAGAGGGAGAAAUGGAAGGAUUCAACAACAAAAUGUCAAAAUUAUAUAUCUGUCCCCAAAUUCAUUUCUUUUUAAUUUAAAAAGAAGAGUAUUUUUGCCCAAUUCAAGAAGGUGAAUCAUGCUAGUACACACCUUCAUAAACAUGAAUGAGUGUGUUAUAGCANNNNNNNNNNNNNNNNNNNNNNUUAACUUACUCCCACCUAAAAACAUGUGGGAGUAAGUUAACAAGCCUACUCCCACUUAUUUUUUACUUAAAAAUCCAACACUUUUAUUUGAAAAAUUUUGUUUUUAAACCAAAGAUAUCACUAACGGUUUUUUCGAUUUCGCAGGAUUUCUUGAUAUUGAAUUUUCAUUUUAUGCUUGUCACCGUCAGCCACUUGAAUUUUCUCAAUUUUUUUUCUUCGGUAGGCACCAAAACAUUUUUUUCUUUGACCACUAAAUCCACUUCUCGUUGAUUGAUUUUACUCACAGUCCUUGUAUUGUUCUUGUAUUAGGAAUUGGGAUGAGACAUUUUAAUUGGCUUGUUUGAUCUUCGGUAAAAUAAUUUCUACUUAUAUACUAUGGAGUAAGGACUCCGACACGGGCACAGCGACACGACACGGACACGGCGAUACCGCUAAUGUAAAAAAUAUAAGACACCGACACCGCUAUAUAUUUAUAAAACAUAUAAAUUUGGAAUCAAAAUAUAUACAUGUAAAUCUAAGUUGAGCAAGUUAUUUCUUAAAAAAAGUUUUAAAACAAGAUAUAAUAAUAUUUUACCUUUUAUUUAUCCAUCUACUGUCGAAAAAACUAAAAAUAUUAAUCAAUAAAAGGUAAAUACAUAUUUUACCUUUUUCUUUACCAAAAAAAAAUCUUUUGUUUAAUUAUUUUAUCUCUUAUAUUAUAAUAUUGAAAAUCAUAAGUAUGAAAACCAAAAUCAAGAGUUAUUUCCUUUCACCAAGAGUGGCUAGAGGCACAAAAAAAAAAAAUCGAAAGUGGCGAGAGGUUUUUUCAAAAUAAUAAAUUUACUCUUGACCUUGACAGUGAUAUAUGUUGUAUAUGUAAAUCCUAGAUGUAAAAAAGGGCAGAAUUCGCCCAUAAAACGAAAACCAUUUUACAAUAUAAAUGGUUUCACUGUUUAACUCUCUGAAACCAUUUAACCAGAAUAAUGGUUUCCAGGAUAUUUUUUUUGACACAUAUUUCCAGGAUUUUUUUUUUGAAACAAUGUUUCCAGGAUUUUUAAAACCAUAAAAACACAAUAUUGGUUUCAUACUUUCAUUGUUCAAUUUAACCAUGGUAUUUGAUUUGGCAAAUCCAUGGCCCAACCCAAUCUUUUUGUUUUUUCAAAUUUCGAGUCUCUUUCUCUUUUUUUUUGAAUUUUUAAAUCGAAUUUUCUAAUCUAAAUAAUAAAGUUACUCUUGACAUUGACAGUGUUAUAUAUUGUAUAUGUAAAUCCUAGAUGUAAAAAUGGGCAGAAUUUGCCCACGAAACGAAAACCAUUUUACAAUAUAAAUGGUUUCACUGUUUAACUCUCUGAAACCAUUUAACCAACAUAAUGGUUUCCAAAAUAAUAUUGCAUAAAUAGUAUUCAUCCCUCGAAUGAGCGGAUGUAAACCCGCCGGUCCCCUUUUUAAUCCAAUUUUAUUAAUUUUAUUAUAAAACCAUUAGACAAUUAUUUUGGUUUCACAUAGAAAACUAUGAAAACCAUUAUACCACACUUAUGGUUUCAGUAAUAAUUUCAUUGUUAUUUUAUAUUAUUAGAAUCAUUACGCAAUUAUUUUGGUUUCACAUACAAGAUUAUCAAAACCAUUAAACCACAAUUAUUUUGAAAGUCAGCUAGACCAAGGCCGAAAUUCGUUUUUACCACAAUGAUAUAAAAGUCAGAUAAAUGANNNNNNNNNNNNNNNNNNNNNNNNNNNNNNNNNNNNNNNNNNNNNNNNNNNNNNNNNNNNNNNNNNNNNNNNNNNNNNNNNNNNNNNNNNNNNNNNNNNNNNNNNNNNNNNNNNNNNNNNAUUCAAAGACAGAAACCAUAUUAUUCAUAUUAUGCUUCUUUUCUUCUUUCUUCACAUGCUGCUUCUUUUCCUUUCCUUUCGCCUCUCUCGUUUUCCGCGGUUGAUUUUUAUCACCACGAGAUGAUGAACCAAUUACAUUCCUUUUUUCCUCCUCCAAUUGUGUCAAUCCAAUACUGAAGGAUGGCAAUGGCGAUAGGUCCUUAGAUUUUUGCACCUGGAUCAAAGAAAACCAUUAAAUACAUAUAAUGGUUUUAGAGUACAAUUCUCUAAAACAAUUCAACAGCAAAAAUGGUUUUAACAUUCAAGAUGAAACAAUUACUUGAUGCUCUAAUAUUUAUUCAGUUCUAAAGAAUUAUUAAUUAAGCUAUUCCACUGCCAUGAGUACUAAAUAUAGUUGUCGCAAAAAGAGUGAUGCUAAAGUAUACUACUCUAUGACAANNNNNNNNNNNNNNNNNNNNNNNNNNNNNNNNNNNNNNNNNNNNNNNNNNNNNNNNNNCUUAGCACAUUACAAACCUAAAAAGAAAGAAAAUCAGACUCUGUGAACCACAGAGAGAGGCUUAGCUUAGCAAACGGUAAUGUGCCUAAACACAAAUGUUUUUCGAACCGUACCAUGACAACAUGCAAAAUCAAAGAACUAGACCACUAUUGGAGCAAGAGUAACUUCAGGCUAAAACAUACAGUUGAAUUGAGAAUCCACACACGUCAGUUAAAUUUAUCAUCAGAACAUAUAAACUAUCGAACCUCAACAAGUACAUCUAAUGGUUUCUAAAAUAACCUUUUGAGCGUGCUGUAAAUUAUAUAUAACAUUAUGCAUCUUGGAUUCAAAGGCAAAACCAUUAAGUACAUCUAAUGGUUUUAGAGUAAAACUAUCUAAAAUCAUUCCAAUAUUAUUCAUCUUGGAUUCAAAGUCAUAACAAUGCAUAAGUAAACAAACUUGAAGUCACAACAGUACUAAAAAUCACAUACACAUCUAGUUAGAAACUCAUAUCUCAUCUUGAAAAAAAAAACUCAGAUCUGAUCAAAAUCAUGCAACAACAAAACCAUUUCCAACCAACUAAUUGCAAUUACUUGAAAGCAUUUUUCAAACUCAACAACAAAAUUAAGUACAUCUAAUAGUUUUGGAGUACAACUCUCUGAAACCAUUUCACAGCAAAAUGGUUUUGACAUGAUUUUAGUUUAAAACUACACUACUACAAGAAAUGUUGAAGUCUUCAAUAUAGCUAAAACUCAAUUGAAGUUGAACACAAAGUGAUUAGUUCAAUAACCAUUUUUAAAAUAAGUUCAUUUGGCACUGUACUUUACAAAGUCAAUGUAGCAUAAUCACUACUACGCAAGCCUGUUAAAUUAAGUUCCAACUAAUCCACAUUUGGCAUACAUAACAUACUAAAACAUGAAUCAAUAGAUUUUAAAAUAAUCGGUCAAUUGUAAACUUCACAAGCAAUAGAUAUCAAAUUUCAAAUAAAACCACUUUACGAUACCAAAUACAUAUAAAACUGCCAUUACAAUACUAAAGCAUCUGCAAAACCCAAUAAAAGCAUCAAAGUGAGCGCGAUUUACUGAAAUAUAAAAAGUUUCAACAAAACAAAAUAUUUGUUCUAUGUUUGAGUUUAUUAUUUAGAAGAUCUUGCUAAGAAUACUAAUUAAGGAAUCAAGAUAUAGGUAAGAUAAUAUUGUAAAUCAUGAUAUUCAAUGCAUUAUUAAUUUCAAAAGUUGCACUUUCCAUUAAAAAACUUCUAUGUUUGAUUCCUUAAUCAGUGUUCUUAAGACAUUAGUUAGCAUUUGCCUUAUUGUGAACGGUUAGAGGACACCAAAACACAAAAAAUAAAGCACAAGACAAGAGUCUCAGGAUAAACUUGUAUAAUGCAGAAGUACACAACACCAUCUAAAAAAACACAGAUAAGUCCGGCCAAAUCGUAUCAAUGUCAAUUGUAAGCAACAAGCAAGCCAAAUUGGGCACGCAUCUAGCAAAACCACCACCACCCUAGAGUUUGUUACAAACCAAUGAACUAUAAGUGAACUAUCAGUGAACAAUGAAAAAAAAAUGAAAAACUAAUAGUUUAAUUUAUCACACUUAACAUAAAAACUAUUAAGUACAUCUAAUGGUUUUGGAGUACAACUCUCUGAAACCAUUCCACACAUGCAGUGAACCAAAUCAACACUCUGAAACCAUUUCCAACUAACAUAUACAAUUUUUAAACUAUUUUUUUGAGUUGAUUUUCUCCAAUUCAAAAUUAAACUAUCAAAUAGGGUUACACAAAUGCAAUUACUUUCCAAACUCAACAACAAAACCAUUUCCAACUAACGCAAAUUAAACUGUCAAUUAGGGUUACACUUUCAAAACUAAUUGCAAUUACUUGAAAGCACAAGAAAUUUGAGGAAGAAAUUAAGUACAAUAAGCUCGAACCUGUUUUGUUUUCAUCAUUUGAGNNNNNNNNNNNNNNNNGAUGAUGAUGAUACCCGUGAUGAUGUAGUGGUUUGGUUCCCGGCGAUGUUGAUGAAAUCGGUGAUGGCGAUGAACGGUGACGGUUAUGAUGAUGAUGAAUGAUGUUGUGGUUUGGUUCCCGGCGAUGUUGAUGAAAUCGGUGAUGGCGAUGAACGGUGAUAGUGAUGGCGAUGAACGGUGACAGUUAUGAUGGCGAUGGUUUCUGCGAUGAUGAUGAUGAUGAUGAUUUCAUGUUGUUGUUUCGUGUUGUUGUUGAUGAAUGAUGAAUGGUGAUAACCGUGUUGUUGAUGAAUGAAUGAUGAAUGAUGAAUGAAACGAGAGUUGGGCUUGGUCUUGUUAUGUUGUGGUGUAGGAAGCAAUUGGGCUGGGGUUUAGGAAGCAAACUUAUGCAUGGUGCGUAAGUUUGAGCUUAUGCACCAUAAGACUACCCACAAUGGUGUUGAGUCCAUUGUGUUGAAUAUGCAAAAGUCUGUUGAAACCAUUGCAAGCAAGUGUUGAAUCUGAUAUGGCAGAGAGAGAUGAUGAAAAUUUUCAACACAGUUGAAACCUGCUUCAGCNNNNNNNNNNNNNNNNNNNNNNNNNNNNNNNNNNNNUUUUAUUUGGCCUGUCUGGCGCGUGCGCAAUGUAACACCCAAACCCGUUAUUUAAUUAUCUCUGCCUUUAUAAAAUCUUUUNNNNNNNNNNNNNNNNNNNNNNNNNNNNNNNNNNNNNNNNNNNNNNNNNNNNNNNNNNNNNNNNNNNNNNNNNNNNNNNNNNNNNNNNNNNNNNNNNNNNNNNNNNNNNNNNNNNNNNNNNNNNNNNNNNNNNNNNNNNNNNNNNNNNNNNNNNNAAGACCUUAAAUUUUAGUUGUAAUUUAAUUUCUUGAAAGUCUAUGUUUGAAUUUGCUUGGAAAACCUUAAUUUUAGUUGUAAUUUAAUUCAAAGUCUAUGUUGGAAUUUAAUAUCUUAAAUUUGCAAAUUAUUUUCAAAUGUGUUGCGGGUUUGAGUUUGGGUGAAAAAAACCGAACCCAAUGGUGUGGGCGUGGGUGUUGUUUUGCCACCNNNNNNNNNNNNNNNNNNNNNNNNNNNNNNNNNNNNNNNNNNNNNNUGUGAGUUUGGUAAGUGUCAAACCCGCACUCAUGUGCGCCCGUUGCCAUCCCUAUCGAAAGCAGCAGCAUAAGUCCAUAACCUUUCUUAAUUUAUCAAUAAGGAUAAUUGUGACAUUUUAAAAUAAAUUUAAGGAUAAUGUCAAUAUAAUUAAAAUUGUACUCCCUCCGGUUCUUUUUAUAAGAAACACUUUGGAAUUUUUAUUUGGUCCUUUUUAUAAGAAACACUUAGACACAAUUCCAUUUGUACCCUUAUUAAAUACAAUCAAAUAAUUCAUUAUAAUGCUAGUGCAUUAAUUAGAGAAGUCUAUUUCUCAUACUAGUCAAAGGUUAGUUUUGGAAUAUAACAUAAAAUGAUAGAAUCAUUAAUGAGAAAAUUUACCUUCCUUGAUCUGUGUGAUUUUGUCAAAGUGUUUCUUAUAAUAAGGACCGGAGGGAGUAAUAAACUACCUCCUCUCCUCUCCUCAGAAGCAAAAAGUGUGUUUAGUAGGGAUUUUCCUUCCCUCCCACCUGUUUAUAAAAAUUGAACCAAACACAUUUUAUUUAAAUUAUUACCUUACCUAACUUUUCUCAACAACUUCUCUCCGCCGAAAACAAACUCUCCUUCUUCUCCCCCCUCAACUCUCAUUCUUUUCUCCACACCUUUCUCUCCCGCAAAUCCAAACAAACCCUAACAUUCUUUCACCUACAUUUUCAUGGAUUCUUCAAGAUUCAGACAUAAUCAUGAAUAUGUAUCUUCGGAUGAAGAAUCUGGUGCGUCGGAACAAAUCUUCAUCCUCCGAAAGAUAAAACAAGACCGACGAAGAUUUAUUACAAGACCGACAGUCUUGUUUUAUCUCAGAGGAUGAAGAUUUGUAGGAGGCGGAGGUUGAUUUUACUUUUUCAUUUGAAGUUCCGUCGCUCAUUGGUGAGUAUGUUGUCUCAGAUUGCUGAGGUAAAUUCAAUUUUAGUAACUAGAGUUCAUUCAUAACCCUAAAUUUUCUUUAUAUAAUUUGUUCAAAUCUUGAUAAUGCUGCAGACUCCAACCAUACAUAUUUCAUCCUCCAAGUUUACCAUUGGUUCGGACCAAAGUUGCAGCCAUGUAUUGCAGGGUCGGUAUUUAGGUCGACGGUCAUGUAAGAUCAAGCCCACACAGGUAGUAUUUUAACAUAUAAUGUGUAUUUAUACUUUUUUUAUCAGUGUAGGCGAUCCCGCCGGGAUGAGGUUGAAGAUAAUGAACUUGAGUUUUAAUUUAGUUACUUUAUUAAUUUAAGUGUUCCGGACUUUACUUUUGCUUCUUUAUUUUGCUUGACUUUUGUUGGUAAGUUGGAUGUAAUGUUUGAUCAAGACUUAAGAGUAAGACAUAGUGUUGGAUAUAAAUUUGAAAAUCUAAAUUUAACGUGGAAAACCCUCGAUGUGAGAGUAAAGAACCACGAGUGUCCAAGCCAAAGAAAUAGCUCCACUAUAAUCAAAUAAGGUACAAAAGAGUCUCCAAGUGAGGCACAAAACAAGUGCUAACAACCAAUUACACAACAAAGCACUAAAGCUUACCAAACAAGAACAAGAUGAAAAAAUCCCAAAAAACCUGAAGCACUGCAGACGCAAUUUCUCCCAAACCAAACCUGAAUUCGACGAUCCGAACGGUGAAACUGUAGCCCCUGGAGCUGCGAACCUGCCCUCCAAAUUUCGGCCAAAUCCAACGGUUAACGAAUCGGGAAUCGAUGUUUUAGUGAGGCUGCUGUGUCAAAAACGAGAAUUGGUUUCUCUCUACUUUUCUGUCUUUGUUGGUUGUUCUUUCUCACAAAAUUUUGCAACUAAGUGGGGAAAAAAAAUUUUGAAUGAAAAGAAAUGGAACAGUAAUGUAAUAGUCACACACCAGGUGGUCCGGUGAGCAAAAUAUGCGGACUUAAGACAGACAGAUUUUGACAGCAGUUUUGUUGUUCUUUAUAUUUCAAUGGUAUAAUGCAUGAAGCAACCAACAUCUUUUUGGUGCAUUCGCUGCAAAUAAAUAAAUGAAAAUAGUAUGAAUUAAAAUCCAUUAAAGAAAUGAACUAAACAAUACGACUUAUGAAAGGUUCAAGCAAGAGGCAUAAAAUACGGUAAUGAAUAUGGGAAACUCUCAAAAGUUGUGUCUAUAUUUUUUCGCUCCAAUAUUGCAUUACGGAUUGCACACGUCGCAGCAGUAGUUGAUGCAGCUGACGUAGAUGUGCCACUAGACACUUUCAAACAAGAAUUUAAUUCAUCGAGGUCAUGUGAAAUAGGAUCGUGAACCUUUGAUUUAAGGUCUAGACUUCCAGAUGUCAGAAGACACUCUGUUUGUAGAUUUAAACGAUCCCUUUGAUGGUCGUCAUCAUUCACUGUCUUGAAAUUUGAAAUAUGUUAAGAAAAAUCACUCGUGCACGUAGAAAUGAAUGUGUUGUAAAUUUCGCCUUCAUUGCGAUCUGCCCCCAUUCGACUAAUUGCGGCAUUUGGGUUGCAAUGAAGGCAACCCAAAUGCCGCAAUUAGGCGGAUGAGGGCGGACCACAAUGAAGGCGGAAUUUUCAACACUAUCUAUUCAUUCCUAUGUGCACGAGUGAUUUUUCUUAACCUAUUUCAAAUUUAGAUUUUCAAGAUAGUGAGUGAUAACGACCUUAAAAGAGGUCGUUUAAAUCUGCAAACAGAAUGUCUUCUGACAUCUCUUAUGGAAGUCUAGACCUUAAACCAAAGGUUGAUCACGAUCCUAUUUCACAUGACCUCGAUGAAUUAAAUUCUUGUUUGAAAGUGCCUAGUGGCACAUCUACGUCAGCUGCAUCAACUAAUGCUGCGACAUGUGCAAUCCGUAAUGCAAUAUUGGAGCGAAAAAAUAUAGACACAACUUUUGAGAGUUUCCCGUAUUCAUUACCGUAUUUUAUGCCUCUUGCUUGAACCUUUCAUAAGUCGUAUUGUUUAGUUCCUUUCUUUGAUGGAUUUUAAUUCACACUGUUUUCAUUUAUUUAUUUGCAGUGAAUGCACCAAAAAGAUGUUGAUUGCUGUAUGCAUUAUACCAUUGAAAUAUAAUAUAAAGAACAAGAAAACUGCUGUCAAAAUCUGUCUGUCUUAAGUCCGCAUGUUCUGCUCACCGGACCACCUGGUGUGUGACUAUUACAUUACUUGUUCCAUUUCUUUUCAUUCAAUUUUUUCCCCCCUUAGUUGCAAAAUUUUGUUGUUUUGCAUGAUUAGAAAUAUACCAGGAGACGUUGGCAAAAGCACUUGCACAUUACUUUGAUGCUAAGUUGCUCAUUUAUGAUCACCGUUGCCUUUUGGAUGUAAGAUAAAGCUUCCUUUCUUGUCUAAUAUUAAGAUUAAGCCGUGCAUGUAACCUUUGUAAUUGUACCACAUACUUUUACUGAAAACUCUUGUAAGAAUCUUUAUUUGGCGUUUGAUGACAGAUUAUAUCUUGCAAAGAAGCAGACACACUCAAAGAUGGAUUCAAUACCAGCACCGCCAAGCAAAGUUCUACCUCUGCAUAGGCUGCACAGGCAUUCAAAUUAGGCAUGUGAUAUCUUCUACCUCUUCAAAACGUUACUGAAUUUAUUUCCAAAACUAUUCUUUCAUGGAGUAAUUUUAUUGUUUUGCAUAUAUGGUAUCAUUUCUUUUUUAAUUUAUAUUCAGCAGAUUAGUUUAUUCUGUGUAUAUUUGAUGUUUUUUGACUAUUCCAGCCACAACACUAUUUAACCAAACUACUAAUACCAAUUGAACUUUUAAGUAGACUUAAUAAAUAAAAAACUAGGGCGCUUUUGUCACAUACUAACUUUUUCCUCUCUCCAUUUUUUAUAUUUCAUUGUCAUGCACAUUACAUAUGUCUGAGACUUUAUAAAUCCUGAAACUUGGAUGCUAUUAUUCUUUAUUAAGGAAAAUAUUUCAUAAUGAAAUUACAGUCAGCAUACCACAGGUAUAUACAGUGGACUGGAUGUUGUUAGUUGUGUUUCCUUAUAUAAUAUUCAUAAUAAUGAUUUUGCUGCAAUUAUUAGGAUGAGGCUGAGGCACUUCUAGCAUCACAAAAGCAGAAUAUGUCUCGAGAUAUAGAGACGCACACAAUAAAAAGGAAUGUACAUCAACUGCGCAUUGUAAGUACCUUGUAUUUUCUUUCAUUUUUAAUCCAUGCAAAAUAUUGAGAUGGAGGCUAUACGACUCUUUUAAGUUAUUUCAGUAUGGUACUGUGUAAUUCAAAGUAUCUUAGGGAGUUAUCCGAAUUGUUGGAUACCAGUCAAAAAGAGUCGAUGCAAGUUACUUUUGGGAGUUUAUUUCCCAAGGAUACAUGUGAAUCAUUGUUUUUUUAUGAUUUGAAUGUCUCUCAUAUCCUUGGUUUUUAUUUAAUGGGUCUUCCGUCUUUUAGAUUUCAUUAAACCCAUUGCACUCUUUUUCCCUUAUCCUUGGUUUUAUCCCUUGGGGUUUUCCAGAAAAGGUUUUUAAUGAGGCAGUGGCAGGUUCCUUGUAUUUUUGUUUCCUUGGGUUUUGGUCUAGUCCCCCCAAGUUUGUCUCUUUUUUCUUUCUUUCUAAUAAAUUUAUUAGGGUGCUGCAAAUGAUAGUUGAUGAUUAUGGGGUGCCAACAUAGUUGGGAUGUCAUAGUUAUCAUGUGAUGCCUGUGCACGCUAAUGUUUUAUAAAAAAAAAAAUGUCUCUCAUAUUAGUUAUGUAAGAAUGGUUGGUUUGGUGAGGGUGGUUUUGAUGUCUCUCUCAUAUCUAUAAAAAUCAUAUUAGGGUAAUAGUUUAGAGGAUAAAUCUUGGGAUAUUACACACUCUGAUGGAUUAUUUUACAAAUUAGUUCAAAGUCCCUUGAAGUCAGUUAUUUUAUUUUGUUGUUUACAGUUGCAAUUAGAUUCUUAAUUUACAGUAAUUACGACCUUUCAAGUUUUAUUUGUAGGUUUUGAGGCAUUAUAAACUUGAAUGUGAAGGACUUGAGACCUUGUGCAUAAAAGAUCAGAUACUUUCGAGCGAAUGUAUGUUCUUUACCAUUAAGUGCUUUUGGAUUUGUUACACAAGGUGCCAAUAAAAUCGUUGGUUGGGCUGUAUCGUACCACUUAAUGCAGAUGCAGAAUCCUAAUCCUGAGUCAACAAUUGUAUUAUCUCAGGAGUGGUGGUUACUAGUCUGCACCGUGCUUUUUUACUUGAUGUUUAUAAAAAUAUAAUAUAAUAUGUACUUAAUUGAAGUUUAAUAAUGUAAUGUCAUUAUGUUAUUCCCCAGCAUCAAUCAUGGAUUUGGCAUAUUGCAGUCUAGCCAAAGUGAGCCACAAAACAUGCGAAGGUCUCAAAAGGUGAUUGCUAUGCGGAGAUGUUCGUUGAUAUUUUAUUACUUGAAAGUUAUUCUAUUGGGAGUUGGGGGAGUUCGACCAACUUCCUUAAUGAACACCUGUUGUGUUGUUUGCAAUCAGGAUAUCAUAGCAGAAAAUGAAUUCGAAGCGAGCCUUUUGGCUAAUGUUAUUCCACCAAGCGAGACUGGUGUUACUUUUGACGAUAUUGGAGCUCUUGAAGCUGUGAAGGAUACGCUGAAAGAGUUGAUAAUGCUUCCUUUGAAGAUGCCUGAGCUUUUUCGCAAAGGGAAAUUAACCAAGGUUUUACUUUUUUUAUUGAAAUGCAUUUUAUUAUUUGUCUCUGCUCUUUACGGGUUUGCAAUUUGUAUAGGCUCUUUAUGGGUUGUCUAUUUGUCUAUGCUCUUUUACUGGUUUCUUUAGUUUAUUGGUUUUUAUGGUGCUUUUGAUGGGCUUUAUUUCUUUUGUAUAGAGUGUCACGUCGAACACAUUAUCUGAUGCCUGCUCUGUGGCCCCACUUAACUUGACAUCCGUAAGCUAAAGCAUCUUUUGUGGGCAAUUGGUUUACAUAAACUGUUAUCAGAAGGAACUUUUUAGUUAUUACAUUAGGAGUACAUUUACAUGAGGUCAUGAGAUCUCACAUAGACUCUUGUGCACCUUUCUGUUUCUAUUGUAAUUGUCCAAACCUCCCUUGUAACUAACUAACUAACUAACUUACUGAAAACUGUUGGUUAGAUUCUCCCUUAGCAGCUCAAUCUAUAAAUAGAUUGCAGCACAUUGUACUUAAUUACACAGCAAUUCGGUUUAAGCUCAAAUCAGAAAAUUGAUUUUUUCAGAUUCAGUUGUAAUUAAUUACUCAGCAAUUCGGUUUAAGCUCAAUUCAGAAAAUGGAUUUUUUUUCAGAUUCAGUUUAAGCUCAAUCUAGAUUUUAAAUUUCUAAUGGUCAUUUAUUUUUUUGUGCGUGGAUAAUAAACUAUUAAAAAAUUUAGUGAUGGUCUGAACACAUUAUCUAUUCUUUUUGAAGAGGCUGAACACAUUAUCUAUUCACAUUGUGAACUACCCUUUGUGCAGCCAUGCCAGGGUAUACUAUUGUUUGGCCCCCCUGGAACAGGCAAAACGAAGCUUGCGAAGGCCAUUGCGACUGAAGCUGGUGCAACCUUCAUCAACAUUUCUAAUUCGAGCAUUAUGUCUAAGGUUAAAUUUGUGGCUCACUGAUGUAUUUUGUUCUCACCUCUUUCAAUUUUUUCUGCAUGCCAGCUUAUAUGUUCUUGCUUCAGGUGCCUGGUGAAAGUGAGAAGUACGUGAAAGCUGUUUUCUCUCUGACGAGUAAAGCUUCUCCUUGUAUCAUAUUUAUCGAUGAAGUAAGCGUUUUUUACCAAAGUUUUACUGUUUGUAGCAUUAAUUUUGAGAGGCUAACAUGACUGGGAAUGUUCCUGACAUAUAGGAAACUCUGUUAGCAGAGGGGGGAUACAGUGAGAAGGGUAGUGNNNNNNNNNNNNNNNNNNNNNNNNNNNNNNNNNNNNNNNNNNNNNNNNNNNNNNNNNNNNNNNNNNNNNNNNNNNNNNNNNNNNNNNNNNNNNNNNNNNNNNNNNNNNNNNNNNNNNNNNNNNNNNNNNNNNNNNNNNNNNNNNNNNNNNNNNNNNNNNNNNNNNNNNNNNNNNNNNNNNNNNNNNNNNNNNNNNNNNNNNNNNNNNNNNNNNNNNNNNNNNNNNNNNNNNNNNNNNNNNNNNNNNNNNNNNNNNNNNNNNNNNNNNNNNNNNNNNNNNNNNNNNNNNNNNNNNNNNNNNNNNNNNNNNNNNNNNNNNNNNNNNNNNNNNNNNNNNNNNNNNNNNNNNNNNNCCAGAUGCUCGAAGUAGAGCAUCAUAAGAGGUUUCACUGAAAAUAGAAGUCUGAACUCUUUCGGCGUGAACCAACAUCUCCAUAUCGUUCAUUCCACUUCACAAUCAAAUUUACUGAUUCAGAAGUACGCAUCUGGUUCAAUCAAUAUAUAUAUGAACACAAUUAUUAUAUAAAUUAUUAAAUAUCAAAAUCUGGAUUACAGAAGCAUGAAAUAAGGGAGAUUUUGUUAUGUAGGGUGUGUUUGUUUCAUGCAUACAAAAUAUAUUCCUAGGAUUAGUUUUCCUUGGAAUAUCAGUAUGGGUACCUUUUACCAAGGAAAAUGUAAGAAAAGUGUUUGGAUGGUACGUUAAAUUACUCGGAAUGAAUUUUCAAAAUUUCCGGGAAUAACUAAAAUGUGUUUGGCUUAUAAAAAUUGAUUCCUAGGAAUAAUUGUUUAAAUACCUAAAAUGCCCCUAUUAUUUCUUUACUAUACAUUUAAAAAAUUAUACUUGGUAAUUUAUAUUUUUUUUGUAGAAUAUAAUUUUUAUUUUUUUCGUGACAAUUUUUACAAAGGCCACGAAGUUUUAAUGAAAAGACCACGAAGUUUAACUAAAACAACGGAUUUCGAUUGAAAAUUUUGAAUUUUAUAAAUCCGAUCGUUCGAUAUCACCAAAUUGAACUAACAAACAAAUGAGAAUAAGAAUUUUGAUGACCGGUCUCCGAAUGUAUAGACCGAUUGUAAUAAUAGUCUCACUGAAAACCUAAAUUUAAUGAAAAGGUCAUGAAGUUUGACUAAAAUUAUCGAUUUCGAUUGAUAAUUUUAAAUUUUAUCAAUUCGACCGUUCAAUAUUACCUAAUUGGACAAACAAACAAAUGAGAAUAAGAAUUUUGAUGAUCAUACUUCGAAUGUAUAGACCGAUUGUAAUAAUAAUCUUAUUUGAAACAUAGUUUUAAUGAAAGGGCCAUUAAGUUUGACUAAAAACUACUGAUUUCAACUGAAAAUUUCCAAUUUUAUCAAUCUGACUGUUCAAUAUCAUAUAAUUGGAGUAACAAACAAAUGAAAAUAAGAAUUUCGAUGAUCAGACUUCGAAUGUAUGAACCGAUUGUAAUAACAGUCUCAUCUGAAACCUAUAGUACUCUAAGUUUUUUUUUCUUUUCAAUUAACCUAGUUUACUAAAAAUUUCAAUUUUAAAGAGAUAAGUUAGACUAUCGAGGUUCGAACUUCGAACUUCGAUCCCUCCUAAGCUCACGCGACACCCUCUUAAAAAAACAAAACAAUAAUUAUGUGACUCUAAUAAAAUAAUUUUUUAGAGUUCUUUAAAGAUAAUAAUUUGUAAUUUGGCUAAAAUAAUUUUUUGGAGUUCUUUGAAGUUUUUUUUUUGGUGGAAUGAGUUCUCUAAAGAUAAUAAUAAUAAUAAUUUUAUUCUUUGAAAAAAAAACACAAAAUUCUAAAUAAACAAAAAAUAGAUUUACAAAUGAAAAAUACCCCGUCAUAAAGAAAAUACAAUAGAAAAGAAUGUUAGUAGUGUUGAUAUUAUGGGUUCAAAGUUCAAACCAAGAUGAGAGUGUUGUGCCAAGAAGAAGAUGAAGUUGUUAAAGGGGCAAAAACGUAAUCAAUCAAUAUUCAUUUAAAAAAUUAGUUUUCUCUCUCAUGUGGAACCCACUGUCCAGAAAUUGGUGCAACCUGUUAUGGCAAGUCAAAUGUAGAGAUGCACCGAUGCACCUAAAAAAAAAAGAAAAAAAGUUGCAUAAUAGGGGCUCCCGUAAAAUAUUAUAUAGUAUCAAUAUAAGCUCCAUUAUUUUAAUGCUCUUACAAGUCAUGCUGUGAACACAGAACACAUGACUCAAUGAGUGGACCAAACCCUUACUAUUAUUCAUUUCAUUAUUUUACACACAUGUACACAUAUAAAGUAUAUAUAUAUAUAAAUCUGCAUCCUUUAUAUAGUAUAGUAUAUAGUUUUGCACAUAAACCACAUUCCCGCGUUGACAUUUGUAGAAUUCAAAAAAGAGCAGCUUGACGUGUACCACGUUUUAUGUAUUUAGAGUUUAGUAUUUGUUUAGUAUAGUAGAACCAACUGUGUUGAACCGAUAAGUAUAUAAAUAGCAGAGCACCCUUUAGUUCAUUCAUAGCAGAGCACAAGUUUAUUACAAAACAACACAAAAUCAUCAUAUUCAAUUUCAGCACUAUUAUUAAUUCAAUUCAAAUGGCUUCUAAAAAUGGCUUAUACAACGCAAGUGAGCUUUUCUAAGCUCAAGCUCACUUGUACAAAGUCAUGUACGGCUUCCUCAAUCCCAUGUCUGUCAAAUGGGCCAUUGAUCUUAAAAUACCAGAUAUCAUCUACAAUCAUGCCCAUCCCAUUACUCUUUUCGAGCUUGUUUCAGCUCUUAAAGUUCCACAAUCCAAACAAACAUGCGUCCAACGACUCAUGCGAUUAUUAGCACACAUUGAUUUCUUUGCAAUUGUCAAAUUUCAAGACAACCAAGAAAGAUAUGCUCUUACUCCAACAUCACAACUUCUUGUCUCUGGCACAGAUCAUUGUUUAUCUUCCAUGGUUCGGUUUCUAAACAGUCCCAUUCUCGUUGAUUCCUACAAUCAUUUGGCGAAAUGGACUUCUGGGGAGGAUCUCACAGUUGUUGAGACUGCUUUAGGCCCUGAAAGUUAUUGGGAUUUCAUUCAUCAAAAUUCUGCAUACUUGAAUACUUUUAAUGAGGCAAUGGAAAGUGAUUCUCAUGUCGUGAGGUUGGCUUUGAGAGAUUGUAGGUCUGUUUUUGAAGGGAUCGGUUCACUGGUCGAUGUUGGUGGUGGAACUGGAAACACAGCUAAAAUUAUAUGUGAGGCGUUUCAAGAGCUCAAGUACAUUGUCUUGGACCUUCCACAGGUUGUUUCUGGUUUAGCAGGAAGCAAUAACUUGAGUUUUGUUGGUGGAAACAUGUUUAAAUCUAUCCCACAAGCUGAUGCCGUUUUGCUCAAGGUAUGUCAUUCAACAAGAAUUAUGAUGACGCCUUUUUCUUGUCUUAAUUAGAUGCUAUAUUCUAAUUAGUAAAUAUAAUUAGCCAAAGCUAUUGGUACAAAGUUUUUUAGGUAAUAUUAAUGUAUUACUAUUUUUGCAGUGGGUGCUACACAAUUGGAGUGAUGAUGAUUGCAUAAAGAUACUCAAAAAUUGCAAGAAUGCAAUAUCAAGAAAAGGGAAAGGAGGAAAAGUGAUCAUCAUAGAUGUAGUAAUAAAUGAAAAAGAAGACGAGCAUGAAAUGACAGAAGUAAAGCUUUUACUAGAUGUGACUAUGAUGACCAGUCUCAAUGGAAAAGAGAGAAAUGAAAAGGAAUGGAAGCAACUUUUCUU
rnacentral:lncRNA from 1 species